UGCGGAGGAUCCAAGCGUUAUCCGGAAUCAUUGGGUUUAAAGGGUCCGUAGGCGGUCUUGUAAGUCAGUGGUGAAAGCCCAUCGCUCAACGGUGGAACGGCCAUUGAUACUGCAGGACUUGAAUUAUUGGGAAGUAACUAGAAUAUGUAGUGUAGCGGUGAAAUGCUUAGAGAUUACAUGGAAUACCAAUUGCGAAGGCAGGUUACUACCAAUGGAUUGACGCUGAUGGACGAAAGCGUGGGUAGCGAACAGG
rnacentral:rRNA from 1 species